GACGUAGGGGGCCAGCGUUGUUCGGAAUUACUGGGUGUAAAGGGUUCGUAGGCGGUGUGGCAAGUCGGGAGUGAAAUUUCUGGGCUCAACUCAGAGACUGCUUCCGAAACUGCUGUGCUGGAGUGUGGGAGAGGCGCGUGGAAUUGCAGGUGUAGCGGUGAAAUGCGUAGAUAUCUGCAGGAACACCCGUGGCGAAAGCGGCGCGCUGGACCACUACUGACGCUGAGGAACGAAGGCCAGGGGAGCAAACGGG
rnacentral:rRNA from 1 species